rnacentral:lncRNA from 1 species
UACGACCAUAGGGAGAUAAGUGAACGAACCUCUCAUUGAGUUGCCAAAAUAUAGAAAUAUAGUAAGAGUUGUAUAUAUUGUUUAUCUUCCAAGUUGCAACUCUAAUGCUUCUUUUCAAAGAGAUGUAACCACUUUUUAUAGGUAAUAUCAACACCCACAAUCUCUUUGGCCAAGUUUCAAUUGUUCCACAGAUAGUACGAUUUAGGCUCAGUUCAUAGCGGGUAGCG